AAGACCGACCACUCUACCUUUGCUGACACUUCCAAGCAUCGCCAUCACUACUGUAAGCCAAGAGAGGACCUUGGAGAGCAACAGUGUGCUGGAAAGGACAAUGGAAUGUUGCAAGAUGCCCUAACUGUCAACUCAUAAACUACUUCUAAUCUGC